rnacentral:lncRNA from 1 species
GUAUUGUUUACUUAGUUUUAGCUCAACACCUUGCUUUAAUGCAUAUUUUCCACAUUAUGUUGGAUCUGCUAAAGGUAUCGAAAGAAGCUAUCAGAAGUGCAUGAUAGCAUCUGUCUUGUCCAUGUAAAAAGCAAUUAAUAACCUUUCUUUCCGUUUAUGCAUAUUGGCACAUAAAUAAGUAAUGCAGAUAUUGUAGGUAUUAAUGAACCAAGAAGGCCAGUUUCUGUGGCUUGACCAAAAGGGA